rnacentral:rRNA from 1 species
ACGCUGGCGGCGUGCCUAAUACAUGCAAGUCGAGCGAACGGACGAGAAGCUUGCUUCUCUGAUGUUAGCGGCGGACGGGUGAGUAACACGUGGAUAACCUACCUAUAAGACUGGGAUAACUUCGGGAAACCGGAGCUAAUACCGGAUAAUAUUUUGAACCGCAUGGUUCAAAAGUGAAAGACGGUCUUGCUGUCACUUAUAGAUGGAUCCGCGCUGCAUUAGCUAGUUGGUAAGGUAACGGCUUACCAAGGCAACGAUGCAUAGCCGACCUGAGAGGGUGAUCGGCCACACUGGAACUGAGACACGGUCCAGACUCCUACGGGAGGCAGCAGUAGGGAAUCUUCCGCAAUGGGCGAAAGCCUGACGGAGCAACGCCGCGUGAGUGAUGAAGGUCUUCGGAUCGUAAAACUCUGUUAUUAGGGAAGAACAUAUGUGUAAGUAACUGUGCACAUCUUGACGGUACCUAAUCAGAAAGCCACGGCUAACUACGUGCCAGCAGCCGCGGUAAUACGUAGGUGGCAAGCGUUAUCCGGAAUUAUUGGGCGUAAAGCGCGCGUAGGCGGUUUUUUAAGUCUGAUGUGAAAGCCCACGGCUCAACCGUGGAGGGUCAUUGGAAACUGGAAAACUUGAGUGCAGAAGAGGAAAGUGGAAUUCCAUGUGUAGCGGUGAAAUGCGCAGAGAUAUGGAGGAACACCAGUGGCGAAGGCGACUUUCUGGUCUGUAACUGACGCUGAUGUGCGAAAGCGUGGGGAUCAAACAGGAUUAGAUACCCUGGUAGUCCACGCCGUAAACGAUGAGUGCUAAGUGUUAGGGGGUUUCCGCCCCUUAGUGCUGCAGCUAACGCAUUAAGCACUCCGCCUGGGGAGUACGACCGCAAGGUUGAAACUCAAAGGAAUUGACGGGGACCCGCACAAGCGGUGGAGCAUAUGGUUUAAUUCGAAGCAACGCGAAGAACCUUACCAAAUCUUGACAUCCUUUGACAACUCUAGAGAUAGAGCUUUCCCCUUCGGGGGACAAAGUGACAGGUGGUGCAUGGUUGUCGUCAGCUCGUGUCGUGAGAUGUUGGGUUAAGUCCCGCAACGAGCGCAACCCUUAAGCUUAGUUGCCAUCAUUAAGUUGGGCACUCUAAGUUGACUGCCGGUGACAAACCGGAGGAAGGUGGGGAUGACGUCAAAUCAUCAUGCCCCUUAUGAUUUGGGCUACACACGUGCUACAAUGGACAAUACAAAGGGCAGCGAAACCGCGAGGUCAAGCAAAUCCCAUAAAGUUGUUCUCAGUUCGGAUUGUAGUCUGCAACUCGACUACAUGAAGCUGGAAUCGCUAGUAAUCGUAGAUCAGCAUGCUACGGUGAAUACGUUCCCGGGUCU